AUCCAGCUGACGAGUCCCGAAUAGGACGAAACGCGCGUCCUGGAC
rnacentral:hammerhead_ribozyme from 1 species